rnacentral:rRNA from 1 species
GUGGGGAAUUUUGGACAAUGGGCGCAAGCCUGAUCCAGCAAUGCCGCGUGCAGGAAGAAGGCCUUCGGGUUGUAAACUGCUUUUGUACGGAACGAAAAGGCUCUGGUUAAUACCUGGGGCUCAUGACGGUACCGUAAGAAUAAGCACCGGCUAACUACGUGCCAGCAGCCGCGGUAAUACGUAGGGUGCAAGCGUUAAUCGGAAUUACUGGGCGUAAAGCGUGCGCAGGCGGUUUUGUAAGACAGACGUGAAAUCCCCGGGGUCAACCUGGGAAUGGCGUUUGUGACUGCAAAGCUGGAGUGCGGCAGAGGGGGAUGGAAUUCCGCGUGUAGCAGUGAAAUGCGUAGAUAUGCGGAGGAACACCGAUGGCGAAGGCAAUCCCCUGGGCCUGCACUGACGCUCAUGCACGAAAGCGUGGGGAGCAAACAGGAUUAGAAACCCGGGUAGUCC